GAUGAACGCUGGCGGCGUGCUUAACACAUGCAAGUCGAACGGAAAGGCCCAAGCUUGCUUGGGCACUCGAGUGGCGAACGGGUGAGUAACACGUGGGUGAUCUGCCCUGCACUUCGGGAUAAGCCUGGGAAACUGGGUCUAAUACCGGAUAGGACGAUGGUUUGGAUGCCAUUGUGGAAAGUUUUUUCGGUGUGGGAUGAGCUCGCGGCCUAUCAGCUUGUUGGUGGGGUAAUGGCCUACCAAGGCGUCGACGGGUAGCCGGCCUGAGAGGGUGUACGGCCACAUUGGGACUGAGAGACGGCCCAGACUCCUACGGGAGGCAGCAGUGGGGAAUAUUGCACAAUGGGCGCAAGCCUGAUGCAGCGACGCCGCGUGGGGGAUGACGGCCUUCGGGUUGUAAACUCCUUUCGCUAGGGACGAAGCGUUUUUGUGACGGUACCUGGAGAAGAAGCACCGGCUAACUACGUG
rnacentral:rRNA from 1 species